CAGGCACCACUUUAGUCAACGACCACGUGGACUAUCAUAUGGCCAAGUGAAUCCUAAUCUUUUUUCCCAUAUGAAUACAUCUCAUAUGAUCAACUUUAUAGUACUAAUUUGCAUGAUGGGUAUAUAUCAUCUAUGGUUGUUUUGGAGUCCAUGAAUUUUAAAGAAUUUUUUUUUAAAAAUAAUAAGAGUAAAUUUAGUUUUACAGGAGAAAUAUAAAAAAAAUCCUCCGUCCCAAAACACACUCGACAGGC
rnacentral:lncRNA from 1 species